rnacentral:lncRNA from 1 species
GUACUUUUCCAGUGAAAAAAUGUUAAUUUGUUCCAUGCCAUCACCAUUUUUUCAUGUACCUAUGUUCAAAGUGAACUUUCACUGAUCACCCCAGAGAGAGAGAAUUUGUAAAUACACUGCUUUAAAUCAUGUUUGGUAGCAACCUGUGAACCGUGCUGAUAAAAGAAGAAUUGACCUAAACUACCCAACCUCAAUCUAAUGAGAUCAAAAAACAUCAGGUGGUGGACCUUUGAGAAGGUGACUGAUGUUUCCUUCAUCUGGAUCAGACAGAGCUUUUUGAGGGAGGAUGUGCUCCUUGAAACCUUUUGAAGACCAAAAGGAAGCAUAUCAGAAAGAAGGGGAUAUAUGAAAACACAGUGAGCAAGAAGAUGGAACACCCCAGAGUUUGGGAGACUUUGGAGAAAAUGGUGAUCUGUAUCUGCAAUUGUGCUGCUGACAGGAUGGAAGGAGGCUUUCAGAACCUUUAGAGAGGCUCUGUGGAGUUUGUUGCAAUACAGAAAACUGUCAAGGCGCUGGUUCAAUCAAACCUAGUGGAAGAGCUCACCUGCAAGAAGGAAAUGGAUAAGGAAGUUCCACUGAAAACCCUGUUGGUUGUUUUAGCAUAACAGAAUAGUGAAUUUUCCCCCUUAAAACUCUAGCUUACCCUAUGGUCAUAGCAAUGCUUUUUCAGGUGAAUUAGUGUAAGUUAGUGCUUACAAAUAAAAUAAAUACUACCGAUUAUUUAUUUUUGAUU